UCAAAGUCGAACACCGUACCUCGUGCUGUGUGUUUGGAGAGGUCAUCGCCGACCAAAGAAAAUAAGGGUUUAAAAUUAGGGGGACGAACGUCAUCUGCAACGCGCUUGUUCGACAAGCUGCGCGCGCGCAUCUGUCGUAGUAAAGCUUUGUUUGCACAUCCCGAAGAAACUGAACGUUCUAAUUUCAUAGACACAAGCGUCACAAAAUUUAUG
rnacentral:misc_RNA from 1 species